UUUUUAGUAUAAGUCUGUCCCAUGCAACAUUUGGGAUAUACUUUUACUAAAA
rnacentral:pre_miRNA from 1 species